rnacentral:rRNA from 1 species
AGAGUUUGAUCAUGGCUCAGGAUGAACGCUGGCGGCGUGCCUAACACAUGCAAGUCGAGCGAUCUUCUUCGGAAGAGAGCGGCGGACGGGUGAGUAACGCGUGGGUAACCUGCCUCAUACACAUGGAUAACAUACCGAAAGGUAUGCUAAUACAAGAUGAUAUAAGAGAUUCGCAUGGAUUUCUUAUCAAAGCUCCGGCGGUAUGAGAUGGACCCGCGUCUGAUUAGCUAGUUGGUAAGGUAACGGCUUACCAAGGCGACGAUCAGUAGCCGACCUGAGAGGGUGAUCGGCCACAUUGGAACUGAGACACGGUCCAAACUCCUACGGGAGGCAGCAGUGGGGAAUAUUGCACAAUGGGCGAAAGCCUGAUGCAGCAACGCCGCGUGAGCGAUGAAGGCCUUCGGGUCGUAAAGCUCUGUCCUCAAGGAAGAUAAUGACGGUACUUGAGGAGGAAGCCCCGGCUAACUACGUGCCAGCAGCCGGUAAUACGUAGGGGGCUAGCGUUAUCCGGAUUUACUGGGCGUAAAGGGUGCGUAGGUGGUUUCUUAAGUCAGGAGUGAAAGGCUACGGCUCAACCGUAGUAAGCUCUUGAAACUGGGAAACUUGAGUGCAGGAGAGGAAAGUGGAAUUCCUAGUGUAGCGGUGAAAUGCGUAGAUAUUAGGAGGAACACCAGUAGCGAAGGCGGCUUUCUGGACUGUAACUGACACUGAGGCACGAAAGCGUGGGGAGCAAACAGGAUUAGAUACCCUGGUAGUCCACGCCGUAAACGAUGAGUACUAGUGUCGGGGGUUACCCCCCUCGGUGCCGCAGCUAACGCAUUAAGUACUCCGCCUGGGGAGUACGCUCGCAAGAGUGAAACUCAAAGGAAUUGACGG